rnacentral:rRNA from 1 species
GACGAACCGAGCGAACGUUGUUCGGAAUCACUGGGCUUAAAGGGCGCGUAGGCGGGCUGCCAAGUCAAGGGUGAAAGCCCCCGGCUCAACCGGGGAAGUGCCUCUGAUACUGGCGGCCUCGAGGGAGGUAGGGGCGUGCGGAACUUCCGGUGGAGCGGUGAAAUGCGUAGAUAUCGGAAGGAACACCGGUGGCGAAAGCGGCGCGCUGGACCUCUUCUGACGCUGAGGCGCGAAAGCCAGGGGAGCGAACGGG